rnacentral:rRNA from 1 species
AAGAGACAGCAGCCGCCGCGGUAAUACAGAGGGUGCGAGCGUUAAUCGGAUUUACUGGGCGUAAAGCGUGCGUAGGCGGCUUUUUAAGUCGGAUGUGAAAUCCCUGAGCUUAACUUAGGAAUUGCAUUCGAUACUGGGAAGCUAGAGUAUGGGAGAGGAUGGUAGAAUUCCAGGUGUAGCGGUGAAAUGCGUAGAGAUCUGGAGGAAUACCGAUGGCGAAGGCAGCCAUCUGGCCUAAUACUGACGCUGAGGUACGAAAGCAUGGGGAGCAAACAGGAUUAGAUACCCCGGUAGUCCCUGUCUCUUAUAC